rnacentral:rRNA from 1 species
GGUUAAGCGACUAAGCGUACACGGUGGAUGCCCUGGCAGUCAGAGGCGAUGAAGGACGUGCUAAUCUGCGAUAAGCGUCGGUAAGGUGAUAUGAACCGUUAUAACCGGCGAUUUCCGAAUGGGGAAACCCAGUGUGUUUCGACACACUAUCAUUAACUGAAUCCAUAGGUUAAUGAGGCGAACCGGGGGAACUGAAACAUCUAAGUACCCCGAGGAAAAGAAAUCAACCGAGAUUCCCCCAGUAGCGGCGAGCGAACGGGGAGCAGCCCAGAGCCUGAAUCAGUAUGUGUGUUAGUGGAAGCGUCUGGAAAGGCGCGCGAUACAGGGUGACAGCCCCGUACACAAAAAUGCACAUAUUGUGAGCUCGAUGAGUAGGGCGGGACACGUGGUAUCCUGUCUGAAUAUGGGGGGACCAUCCUCCAAGGCUAAAUACUCCUGACUGACCGAUAGUGAACCAGUACCGUGAGGGAAAGGCGAAAAGAACCCCGGCGAGGGGAGUGAAAAAGAACCUGAAACCGUGUACGUACAAGCAGUGGGAGCACGCUUAGGCGUGUGACUGCGUACCUUUUGUAUAAUGGGUCAGCGACUUAUAUUCUGUAGCAAGGUUAACCGAAUAGGGGAGCCGAAGGGAAACCGAGUCUUAACUGGGCGUUAAGUUGCAGGGUAUAGACCCGAAACCCGGUGAUCUAGCCAUGGGCAGGUUGAAGGUUGGGUAACACUAACUGGAGGACCGAACCGACUAAUGUUGAAAAAUUAGCGGAUGACUUGUGGCUGGGGGUGAAAGGCCAAUCAAACCGGGAGAUAGCUGGUUCUC